rnacentral:lncRNA from 1 species
AUGCUAUCCACAUUCAGAGGAAGAUCUUUGGGAGUAGAAACUCACAAGAAAAACAACUCCUUUUACAUGAGUCGAGGGGGAUAUGAUUGGUGAUGUAGCCUCUAAAUGAUCAUCCUAGUGCAAACAUCAACAACAUGGAAAUAGGACACAUAUAAAACCCAAUGGAAUUAUGUGGAAUAGCUAUGGGAAGGGGUGGGGGAGGGGAGGGAAAGAAUAUGUUUUUGUAACCAAGGAAUAAUGUUCUAAACUGACUAAUUAAAUAAAAUGUUCAAAAAAAUGAAAAUAAAAAAAAAUGCUAGUACCAGGAAAUCAGCUGCUGGAGGGGACUGAUUACAGUGUAGCCACUUCCUCUUUCCUCUACUAAGCUGGUCAAACUUAAUGGAGUCUGGACCUGGCCAAAAGUGAGUCUACCCCUCCCAACUUUCUUCUAUGCCUUUGAAAUCUUCCCUCCUAUUACAAACUUAGAGACACUCUUCUAUAUACUAAAUGGCUACUUUAUUUCUUUGAAAAUAAGUAUAGAGGAAAAGGGUAGAGGGAAAAGAUGGGCAAUUCCUAAUGACUUUUCCCCUAUCAACUGUUGAAAACUUUGUUACAAAGUCCCUUCAGAGAAAUGGGUUGACUUAAGUCAGCAGAGGUCUUCAGUGGGCAAAGACUUCUUUUGCUAAGCCAAGGUAGAAAAGGUAUUGGAAAGGCAACUCCCUCCCUGGCUCUUGUCAGAGUCUCUAGUGAGAUAGUGUGUUUCGAGACCCAGUUCUGGCCAACAGUUUUCCUCCUUUGAAUCUUCUUUUGAAUUCCAUGGAAUUCCCCUCCCCCACUGGUUCAUGGCUGUUCCAUCUGCUUCUCCUUGGUCCAUUUUCCUUACAUUUCAGGUUUUACUCUGCUUUUUUCCAUUCUUCCUUGAUUACUGUGGUAAGGUGGUGUAAAAAAUAGAUUCGAAUACAGGACUACAAUCCCCAUGAGCCUUUGCUCCACUUCCCCAGAAUGCCUUGUAAUCUCACCUGGGCUGAGAUCGAGAAGGCUGGGCAGAUAUAAUGGAGUCAGUCAGUCUAGACCAGAGGGUAAGUCUACCCCUCACAGCCUUCUUCUUUUGAUGAAUUAAAAAUCCUCUCUCACUUUGUAAGAAUUGGAAAUAAUUUCUACCCAGAUAUAUAUUUUAUAAAGUUUAUUGGAAAGGGUAGACAAUUAUU